rnacentral:misc_RNA from 1 species
AAAUUUGAUAUGUUUUAAUCAUAAUAACACUAAAUUAACAAAACUUUUUCUAAAUGCUUUUUUCAACAAGCACACUUCUUUUACCCUAAAACUCAACAUCAAAAGGGGCCUAAGACUGUUGAAGGCCCAGCAACAGCAGCAGCUCUUAUGCAUUAAUAGAUUUCUACACAUUGCACUAUUUCAGAACAAUGCUUUGCAUUAGAAAGCUACGUGUUAUCAGUAACUCAGAAACAAAGACGAUGCAAGGCCCUUUCAAAUUUCAAUCAACUUCAUAAAAAAACAAAGAACCAUUUAACUUCCUAAAUUAUCCAACUCAGAUCAACAAAUACAAAUCCAUCAAUGCCCAAAUACUCAUGAUUGUACAAAAACCAACCCAUAAAGAUUACUUUCUUUAUUCAUUUCAACACUUCUCCUUGACCUUACAAGACAAAAAAAAUUCAUACUUUAGGCAAGUACCUGUAGGCAAGCACACAACAGGCAGAGAAUACAAGCCCGUAAGGAUCAUUAUAAUAAGCAAACCAGCAGUA